GACGAACGCUGGCGGCGUGCUUAACACAUGCAAGUCGAACGGUGAAGCGCCUUCCUUUUUGGUGGGUGUGGAUGAGUGGCGAACGGGUGAGUAACACGUGAGUAACCUGCCCCCUUCUUCUGGAUAACCGCAUGAAAGUGUGGCUAAUACGGGAUAUUCUGGGUCUGUCGCAUGAUGGGUCUGGGAAAGAUAUUGUUUCGGUGGGGGAUGGGCUCGCGGCCUAUCAGCUUGUUGGUGGGGUGAUGGCCUACCAAGGCGGUGACGGGUAGCCGGCCUGAGAGGGUGGACGGUCACACUGGGACUGAGACACGGUCCAGACUCCUACGAGAGGCAGCAGUGGGGAAUAUUGCACAAUGGGCGCAAGCCUGAUGCAGCGACGCCGCGUGAGGGAUGGAGGCCUUCGGGUUGUGAACCUCUUUCGCCAGUGAAGCAGGCCUGCCUCGUUUGUGGGUGGGUUGACGGUAGCUGGAUAAGAAGCGCCGGCUAACUACGUG
rnacentral:rRNA from 1 species